CCUACGGGUGGCAGCAGUGAGGAAUAUUGGUCAAUGGGCGCGAGCCUGAACCAGCCAAGUAGCGUGAAGGAUGAAUGCCCUACGGGUUGUAAACUUCUUUUAUAAAGGAAUAAAGUGAGGCACGUGUGCCUUAUUGUAUGUACGUUAUGAAUAAGGAUCGGCUAACGCCGUGCCAGCAGCAGCGGUAAGACGGCGGAUCCGAGCGUUAUCCGGAUUUAUUGGGUUUAAAGGGAGCGUAGAGGGGUUGUUAUGUCAGUUGUGAAAGUUUGCGGCUCAACCGUAAAAUUGCAAUUGAUACUGGCAGUCUUGAGUACAGUUGAGGUCGGCGGAUUUCGUGGUGUAGCGGU
rnacentral:rRNA from 1 species